AGCUGUUUUGCGGUGGGAAUUGCUGCAUUCUUCUUGCAGCGCCGGGAGAUGCGAGUGCUGUGGCCGUGGGUGCUGACUCCCAUUCUGGCUC
rnacentral:tRNA from 1 species